UUUUUUUUUUUUUUUUUUUGGGUUCCAUUAUGUUUUUAUUACUCAGUUUCCCCUCUUGUACCUACUCAUUAUGAACUACAGUACUGGUGUCACUGUUUCCUUAUCGUAUUUCCUCAUGUCUUUGCAUCCUUUCAGAUGACAAUCUACAGAGAACAACACUUAUGCAGCAAAAUAUCGGUCCAUAACAUGAAAUCCUUCCUUAAUGAAGUUAUUAGCUCAUUGAUAAUUAAGGAUCUUCUUCCAUGUCAUCUGGAUUGGGAGCCAUAAUGAAGUGCUUUGGGUAUACAAGGUUGUGUGUGUAAGCAUGUAUUUCCCAACGGGCAUCAUCACUUUCGUGUGUAAUGUAACGUUCACCAAUGCGAGUUUCAAAUUCUCUAAGGUCAAGCCAAGUCUGAUAGUCCUGUAGCCAGGGAUGACUAAGAGAUUUGUUAAAAUAACCUCUUUUGGAGUUGAUGGUGCAGAGGAAACGAAUCCGACUAGGAAUCAUGAGGGUUUUUGUUUUUUUGUUUUUUGUUUUUUUUUAUCUUUUUGCCUUUUCUAGGGCCACUUCCUGAGGCAUAUGGAGGUUCCCAGGCUAGGGGUCUAAUGGGAGCUGUAGCCGCCGGCCUACGCCAGAGCCACAGCAACGCGGGAUCCGAGCCUUAUCUGCCACCUACACCACAGCUUACGAUCUGACGUUGCUAUGGCUGUGGUGUAGGCUGGGAGCAACAGCUACAAGUAGACCCCUAGCCUGGGAGCCUCCAUAUGCCACGGAUACGGCCCUAAAAAGACAAAAUAAAAUAAAAUAACCCGUUUUUCCUUCUGGUCCGACCCAGGAAAGCAUCUGCUGACUUUGAUGGACUCCUAUCCCAACUUCGAUUUGGGAGUAAUUAAAGACCAUGUGGGAGGGGCAAUCACAAUAACAACUGAAACAUCGGCUCCAUUAUCUGUUAAUCCCCUGAUAUUUUUUUCCAUUAACCGUAAUAGUCAUUCGUGGACGUUCAGUUGUGACUUCCUGAGUCCAAAAGACUUGAGAAGUCCCUGCACUUCCAAUCCUGAUGUUCCCCUUUCUUUAUGAGGACUCUGUCCUAUUUUAAGAUAUGGCAGCAGUAACAAUUGAGCAAUCCUCCUUCCAGGAUGCAAAGGAAGUAGGGUUUUGGAUUUCAUCAUCACUUUAAUCUCUCCUUGACAGUCUGCAUCUAUCACUCCAGGCAAAACUUGUAAGCCUCUCAAGGUUAAGCCACUUCUCCCUCUAAUGAGGCCUACGGUGUCCGGAGGAAGAGGGCCAUAAAUUCCUGGAGGGACUGCCUGAAAGCCCUGUUCAUACGUUAAAACAGCUGCUGUGGCGCCCGGCAAGUCCAACCCUUGGGAAGCCCCUGGGAGGGAUCGGAUGCCUUUUCGGUUGGAGCCACAAAAGCCCACAUUGUUGGACGGGGCCGGGGCCGGGGCUGGCCCUGGUUCCCGUUUCCCGACACCAGAGUGGUUAAUGGAGUACCAUUUCGGUGAAACUUAGAUCGGCAUUGAUUAGCCCAGUGAUUCCCUUUCUGACAGCGAGGACAUAAGCCGGGGUUCUGACUGGGUCCUGGAGAUGAUCCUGUUGCAGAGGGUGCCUUUUCUUUUGGGGGGGCUCGGCAUUCUCUCUGAAAGUGUCCUGCCUUUCCACAGUUAAAGCAUGUCUUUCCUGAGCAGCCAAGUGCUCUUUUCAAUGCUGCAGCAAGCAGCUCUUGAGUAUGACCUACACUCCCUACAUCCUGACAUGCCUUAAUAUAAUCAAAGAGGUCUCCUGAAUUUCUUACAGGGGCCAUUGCCCUUCUACAGUCUUUAUUUGCGUUUUCGUAUGCCAAUAGUUUAAUUAAAAUAUCAGCCACCUGAGAAUGGGCUACUUGGCGAUGGACGGCCUGUGUUAGGCGGUCCACAAAUUGUGAGUAAGGUUCUGUAGGGCCUUGAAGGCAACGUGUAAAAGAUCCUUGUGGCUUUCCUGUCCCAGGAAUUGUCUUCCACGCUCUUUGGGCGGCCAGGCUCAACUGCUCAUACGCCAGAGGAUCAUAAGCCAGUUGUUUUGUUACGUCAAGAAAAGGGCCUGUCCCCACCAACAUUUCAAAAGUAAUUGGAACAUGAUCUCUUUUAUUUAAGCAAGCCUGUUCCCGACAAAAAUCUGAAAGACUAGACUUCCAAAUUAAAUAAUCUAUACCAUCCAGGGUGGCUUUGGCUAUCAUAUGCCAGUCCCACGGGGGAAGCUGGAGUGUCCCCACGCUUUCUACCAAGCGCAUCGUAAAGGGAGCUGUCACUCCGUUCUGUAUCACACUCUCCCGGAGAGCUUUAAGAUCUUUAAAAUCAAAAGUGUUCUGCGCAUGGGUAUUUUGUCCUGGGACUUGAGGAUUGGGGACAAUAGGUAUAGGGCACGCUAAAAAGGUCCGAUCCUCUAGACUAGCUGACUUUAAGGCUGAUUGAAGGGGAGUUAGUGCUGCCGCCACAGCUAACGGGCUAUUUAAACUCUCAUCAAGAAAGGGAUCGGCCUGAGGGGGAGCAGAAGCUAUAGGCUUUUCUUUAUGUUCCCGUAAGGGCUCCAAAACACGUCUUACUAGUUCCCAUGUAGAAAAAACAGAAACAGAAAGAGAGGCCCCCGACCGAUGGGCGUGCCUUAAAUUUUUCCCCACGAGAUCCCAGCAUUCCGGGUCCACAGUACCCUCGCCUGGAAACCAAGGGUUAUAUUUGAGCACGGCUUCUAACAAUUCCUCGAUCUCAGACCCUGUUACCUGAGCCCCCGACCAUUUCAACACACAUUUCAGCAACUGAAUAUAAUGUUUCGUUUCCUGUGAUUGAUUCUGCCCCAUUGUUAUCCUGGCUUAAAGUUUCUACUUACUCACGGUUGCGAUUCCGUCGAGUGCAAUGCUACCGUCUCCGCCGUCUGUAGUUGCACUUUUUCCUGCUCGUGGCCCAACUUCUCUUUCCUCUGCUCGUGGCAGUGUUAUGGCAGCUGCCCAGAAGCCCUGGGCCGCAGCGUAUCAGUUCUGGCGACAGCCCUGUGGCUGUCGUGUCCCAGCUCCAGCAGCUCUGUGGCUGCAGUGGAUCAGCUCUUUGACCCGGCGAGAAACCAAGCGAGCACUUGGAGAGUUGGAGAACUCAGGUUUAUGACGCCGGUGGGCUCAGAGGAGAUCGCUCUCCAGAGUCUGAGCCC
rnacentral:lncRNA from 1 species